GAACGCACAUUGCGCCCCUUGGUAUUCCGGGGGGCAUGCCUGUUCGAGCGUCAUUAUAACCCUCAAGCCUAGCUUGGUGUUGGAGCAUGCUACCUAGCAGCUCUUAAAAUCAGUGGCAGUGCCCUCUGGCUCUAAGCGUAGUAACUUUUCUCGCUAUGGAACCCAGAGGGACCGCGCCAAAACUCCCAACUUCUCAUGAUUGACCUCGGAUCAGGUAGGGAUACCCGCUGAACUUAAG
rnacentral:misc_RNA from 1 species